rnacentral:rRNA from 1 species
AUUGAACGCUGGCGGCAUGCUUUACACAUGCAAGUCGAGCGGUAACAGGCCGCAAGGUGCUGACGAGUGGCGAACGGGUGAGUAAUGCAUCGGAACGUGCCCAGCCGUGGGGGAUAACUACUCGAAAGAGUAGCUAAUACCGCAUACGAUCUAUGGAUGAAAGCGGGGGACCGUAAGGCCUCGCGCGAUUGGAGCGGCCGAUGUCAGAUUAGGUAGUUGGUGGGGUAAAGGCUCACCAAGCCAACGAUCUGUAGCUGGUCUGAGAGGACGACCAGCCACACUGGGACUGAGACACGGCCCAGACUCCUACGGGAGGCAGCAGUGGGGAAUUUUGGACAAUGGGCGCAAGCCUGAUCCAGCAAUGCCGCGUGCAGGAAGAAGGCCUUCGGGUUGUAAACUGCUUUUGUACGGAACGAAACGGCUCUGGUUAAUACCCGGGGCUAAUGACGGUACCGUAAGAAUAAGCACCGGCUAACUACGUG